UCAACCAUACCAAUUGUUGGACGUGAAACCUUUGAAAACCCGAGAACCCAGGCACCCCGAAGAAGGCAUUGUUUAUACUCUUGUGAUUGUGGGGGUUUCAGUUGAUUCUGAGUUUAUGGGAAGCUUUAGAUCACCCUCAUGAUGCUCGGAGUACCAUUUUCACAAAGUUUGGAAUUCGGGAUUGUGUAGAACCAGAGAACCCAAUAUUUGGUAUUGUUUAUGUGCUCGUGGAAUUGAAGGUUUCAAGGUAUUUGGAGCUCAUAAGGAGCUUAAGGACCUCUCCACGAAGCUCGGAGAGGAAGAAUGAGGUGAUUUAGACGUCUGGAGACUGAGAUCGAAGCAUCAUAGUUUAGCCGGAAUUAUCGAAGGAUCUCUGGCAAAUUCUCGAAGGUUUUAGGUCCAAAUCUUGGUAAAGUUUUGUUUCUUAUGUUGUAAGCUUCAUUUUGGUGAAGAUUUCAUGAAAAAUGGUUAAGAAUUGACUGAAAUACGAAG
rnacentral:lncRNA from 1 species